UACGUAGGGGGCAAGCGUUGUCCGGAUUUAUUGGGCGUAAAGAGCGUGUAGGCGGCUAGGUAGGUCCGUUGUGAAAACUCGAGGCUCAACCUCGAGACGUCGAUGGAAACCAUCUAGCUAGAGUCCGGAAGAGGAGAGUGGAAUUCCUGGUGUAGCGGUGAAAUGCGCAGAUAUCAGGAGGAACACCGAUGGCGAAGGCAGGUCUCUGGGCCACUACUGACGCUGAGAAGCGAAAGCAUGGGGAGCGAACAGG
rnacentral:rRNA from 1 species